CUAUCACCUACAAUCUUCCAUGAGGUCACAGGCUGGGGAGUGCCUCCCCAUCUUUAGAGAGAGCAGUCACGAUCCGAUGGGAACAAUGUGGCCUGGCUGCCGCCCACCCAAGAGCUGAGCAGCAGGUCUGAGUGGCCGACGGCCUAAGUCAGUUGCCACUCUCUCAAGCAGGUCAGGAUUGUGCUCGUCAGUUGACGAAGUUUCUCUUACAAAAGGAACCUCGGCGCUUCCCUAUUUGCCCCAGUAUUUAGAGAAAACAAUCUGAAUGUUUUCAGGCCAUUCUGGAGAGAGGAGCCAAGGGCAUCAGAGCCAAACCCGGACCCCGUUAGAUCGUCAAACCCCUUCUAUUACUCAAGACAGGUGUUUGAUCUCUGAGGAGUGCUUUCAACACAGAAGCCAUUAAAGAUCACAGACAGUAAGAGACAUGGGCCCAUGUAAUGACAGGCCAGCAGAUGAAGAGUGGACGGGCUCGGUCACAAACUUGCUGGGUGACCCUGGGUUCUCCACUUUUAACAACUCAUGGGAUUAGACCAGCCCCCACUGGAUAAUCAGGAUAGCUGCCUCAUCUCCAGGUGCAUAACUCCGAUCAUAUCUGCAAAGUCCCUUUUGCCACCUAAGAUCUUUGUGCAACAGCUUACCUAUUAGAAUGAUCUUGAACAUACAUCUGUCUCUUCUGACCAGGAGCUAAAAACAAAGGACUUAUUUGAAGCAGGUAGAGAAUGGCCUCACACGUCUCCACCCCCAUCAGGAGGAACCUCACUGGAAUGCAAAACUACAGCGAGUUUCUCUCCCUGACAAUCCUUGAGAAGAGGAAACAUCAAGAGUAAUUACAUCGAGAGUGUGAUGCAGGAGAAAUUCCUUUAAAAAACACACACACAGAUGGACACAUCUGAGGGAAUGAGGAGUGUUAAAAAAAAACAAAAAACAAAAAACCAACAACAACAAAACCAACACAUGCACACUGUUGAUUGAAAUUUACCAUUUUGGAACUGUCCAAAAAUCUCUUGCUGCCAGGGACAUGUCAGAAAAACACAAAAUAAACUGCCGUGGCGGUCCAACUUGGGGUACGACAAAGUGAAUGAGAGAAACGUGGUUCCUGACUUUCCAACAGAGUGAUUUCCUUAAACUCCCCAAACAUAAAAACCAGCAAGAACACAAUUAGAAGGAAAAUUCAAGGAAAAAAAGUAUCAUUUUUUAAGAAGUUUCACUAUAUGUUAAUUGGAUCUCAAUAAAACAGAAAGAAAAAAAUGUUUCAGUUGUAACAUAGCAGUUAUAGAACACAAAAGGCAAAAUCCACUCAUUCAUCCAAUAACUGCUAAUUGUCCUUCAAAGAGCUGGCAGAUGCCGUGCUAGGCUUUAGGACACAAGCGAACUGGUAAAUAACAAAAACAGCAACUUUGAGUUUCAUUGUUUACAAAGGAUUUUUACAUACAUAAUCACACUCCUCCUCACAAUGAUCCCAUUUUACAGAUAAGGCAAGUGAGAUCCCAAAAGAAUCAAUUAAUGGCCAAGAGGAGCAGGAGGAUGAAUUCACACUCAAGUGAGACUCUUUAACCUCUUCCACUUAUGGAUUUUGCCCUGAAGACUCUUCUUCACCCCGAUUUCUAACUCCCAGUCUCCAAAUCUCCUUCCACUGUAGCAGGAUCUUCUACAGUGUCGA